CCUACGGGAGGCAGCAGUGAGGAAUAUUGGUCAAUGGACGAGAGUCUGAACCAGCCAAGUAGCGUGAAGGAUGACUGCCCUAUGGGUUGUAAACUUCUUUUAUAUGGGAAUAAAAUGUUCCACGUGUGGGAUUUUGUAUGUACCAUAUGAAUAAGGAUCGGCUAAGUCCGUGCCAGCAGCCGCGGUAAUACGGAGGAUCCGAGCGUUAUCCGGAUUUAUUGGGUUUAAAGGGAGCGUAGGUGGAUUGUUAAGUCAGUUGUGAAAGUUUGCGGCUCAACCGUAAAAUUGCAGUUGAAACUGGCAGUCUUGAGUACAGUAGAGGUGGGCGGAAUUCGUGGUGUAGCGGUGAAAUGCUUAGAUAUCACGAAGAACUCCGAUUGCGAAGGCAGUUCACUGGACUGCAACUGACACUGAGGCUCGAAAGUGUGGGUAUCAAACAGGAUUAGAUACCCCUGUAGUC
rnacentral:rRNA from 1 species